GAAGAGAGGAAUGGUAGGACACAAAGAAGAGAAAGUAAGAAAAAAGAGUGGAGCUGUUUCAAAAACAUGCUGUUUCUUCCUUUUUACUAUUUGUACAGCGGAUCCACUUAGAUAUCUGCGUUUGAGAACAUGACCUUGAUGCAGCCAUUGCUCUCGCAAAGGACAAAGUUAACGAAGUUGUUUUCAAGCUUGAACAUCUAAUUGAACAAAUUGAGCAAAUAGUCAAAGAACAAAACUAUCAAAGGGACCCUGAAGAAAAUUUUCAACUGACCAAUGUAGAUAUAAAGAGCAGUGCUUUAUGGCGGACUGUUGCACAAACAUUAAUCUUUACCUCAGUUGGAAUUUUCCAAAUGAAGUACCUAAAAGACUUUUUUGUGGCUAAGAAGCUUGUUUAAAAUAUUAUCAAUAAAGACAAAUAACUUGCAUAACGUUUGAAUUAAUAAAUAAAAAUACACGCAUUAAUGUA